UGGGGAAUUUUGGACAAUGGGCGAAAGCCUGAUCCAGCAAUGCCGCGUGUGUGAAGAAGGCCUUCGGGUUGUAAAGCACUUUUGUCCGGAAAGAAAUCCUUGGCUCUAAUACAGUCGGGGGAUGACGGUACCGGAAGAAUAAGCACCGGCUAACUACGUGCCAGCAGCCGCGGUAAUACGUAGGGUGCAAGCGUUAAUCGGAAUUACUGGGCGUAAAGCGUGCGCAGGCGGUUUGCUAAGACCGAUGUGAAAUCCCCGGGCUCAACCUGGGAACUGCAUUGGCGACUGGCAGGCUAGAGUAUGGCAGAGGGGGGUAGAAUUCCACGUGUAGCAGUGAAAUGCGUAGAGAUGUGGAGGAAUACCGAUGGCGAAGGCAGCCCCCUGGGCCAAAUACUGACGCUCAUGCACGAAAGCGUGGGGAGCAAACAGGAUUAGAUACCCUGGUAGUCCACGCCCUAAACGAUGUCAACUAGUUGUUGGGGACUUCAUUUCCUUAGUAACGUAGCUAACGCGUGAAGUUGACCGCCUGGGGAGUACGGUCGCAAGAUUAAAACUCAAAGGAAUUGACGGGGUC
rnacentral:rRNA from 1 species